GAUGGCAUGCUUCACUCCGUUAAGAUCUCCCAAGGCCGAGCAACACUUUGCAGCCGCUACGUCAAGACCUAUAAAUAUACCACAGAGCGCAAAACUGGUUAUCCUUUCUUUCCCAGCAUCUUCUCUAGCUUCAACGGCCUUCUUGCCUCUACCAUGCGCGCAGGUCUCUUCGCUUCCCAAAUCAUUACUGGUCAGCUCAAUCCUGCAAACGGUUUUGGUGUCGCAAACACCAAUUUAGCUUUGUUUGGCAAUCGUAUCUAUGCGCUUUGCGAGGUUGACCUCCCAUACGCUGUGAGUUUGACAUCGAACGGAGAUAUUCAAACCCUGGGGCGCUGUGAUUUUAAUGAGAAACUCUCCGUGAGCAUGACAGCUCAUCCGAAGAUAGACCCAGAAACCGGCGAGACCUUUGCUUUUCGCUUCAGCGCGGUGCGUCCAUUCCUCACCUAUUUUCACUUUGAUGCAGAUGGGACAAAGCACCCGGACGUGCCCAUAAUCUCUAUGCGUCGACCAUCUAUCAUCCACGACUUUGCAAUCACCAAGAAAUAUGCCGUAUUUGUUGACAUACAAAUAACAUUAGACCCCAUCAAAGUGAUCACUACCGGAGGAUCGCCAGUCGUUUUUGAUACCUCCAAAGUUCCUAGGAUUGGAGUACUUCCCCGGUACGCAGUUGACGAGUCCGAGAUAAGAUGGUUUGAUGUUCCGG
rnacentral:lncRNA from 1 species